AACGAACGCUGGUGGCAGGCUUAACACAUGCAAGUCGAGCGCCCCGCAAGGGGAGCGGCAGACGGGUGAGUAACGCGUGGGAAUCUACCCAUCCCUACGGAAUAGCUCCGGGAAACUGGAAUUAAUACCGUAUACGCCCUACGGGGGAAAGAUUUAUCGGGGAUGGAUGAGCCCGCGUUGGAUUAGCUGGUUGGUGGGGUAAAGGCCUACCAAGGCGACGAUCCAUAGCUGGUCUGAGAGGAUGAUCAGCCACAUUGGGACUGAGACACGGCCCAAACUCCUACGGGAGGCAGCAGUGGGGAAUAUUGGACAAUGGGGGCAACCCUGAUCCAGCCAUGCCGCGUGAGUGAUGAAGGCCUUAGGGUUGUAAAGCUCUUUCACCGGGGAAGAUAAUGACGGUACCCGGAGAAGAAGCCCCGGCUGACUUCGUGCCAGCAGCCGCCGCCGUAA
rnacentral:rRNA from 1 species